UACGGGGGGAGCAAGCGUUUGUUCGGAUUUACUGGGCGUAAAGGGCGCGUAGGCGGUAGCACAAGUCAGUUGUGAAAUCUCCGGGCUUAACUCGGAAAGGUCAACUGAUACUGUGCGACUAGAGUGCAGAAGGGGCAACUGGAAUUCUCGGUGUAGCGGUGAAAUGCGUAGAUAUCGAGAGGAACACCUGCGGCGAAAGGCGGGUUGCUGGGCUGACACUGACGCUGAGGCGCGAAAGCCAGGGGAGCGAACGGG
rnacentral:rRNA from 1 species